AGGAUGAACGCUGGCGGCGUGCCUAACACAUGCAAGUCGAACGUCCUGUCUCGCAAGAGGCAGGGAGUGGCGGACGGGUGAGUACCACGUGGGUUAUCUACCGUGAGGUGAGGAAUACCGGCGAGAAAUCGCCGACAAGACCGCAUAGCCUCGGUGCAAGCCGAGCAAAGCUCUUUCGAGAGAGGGAGCGCCACACGAGGAGCCUGCGCCCGAUUAGCUAGCUGGUGGAGUAACGGUUCACCAGGGCGACGAUCGGUAGCUGGUCUGAGAGGACGAUCAGCCACACUGGGAUUGAGAACGGCCCAGACUCCUACGGGGGGCAGCAGUGAGGAAUUUCGUCAAUGGGGGCAACCCUGAACGAGCAACGCCGCGUGCAGGAAGAAGGUUUUCGGAUCGUAAACUGCUUUUCUCGGGGAAGAGAACGGACGGUACCCGAGGAAUCAGCCCCGGCUAACUACGUGCCAGCAGCCGCGGUAA
rnacentral:rRNA from 1 species